rnacentral:rRNA from 1 species
UACGUAGGGGGCAAGCGUUGUCCGGAUUUAUUGGGCGUAAAGAGCGUGUAGGCGGCCUGGUAGGUCAGGUGUGAAAACUCGAGGCUCAACCUCGAGACGCCGAUUGAAACCACCAGGCUAGAGUCCGGAAGAGGAGAGUGGAAUUCCCGGUGUAGCGGUGAAAUGCGCAGAUAUCGGGAAGAACACCCGUGGCUAAGGCGGCUCUCUAGUACGGUACUGACGCUGAGACGCGAAAGCGUGGGGAGCGAACAGG